GUGGUCAUCAUCUUGCGCCAGUGCCGGUU
rnacentral:sRNA from 1 species